AUUGAACGCUGGCGGCAUGCCUAACACAUGCAAGUCGAACGAGUGGCGGACGGGUGAGUAAUGUCUGGGAAACUUCCCGAUGGAGGGGGAUAACUACUUGAAACGGUAGCUAAUUCCGCAUACCAUCUGAUUUUCCCAGAUGGGAUUAGCUUGUAGGUGGGGUAACGGCUCACCUAGGCGACGAUCCCUAGCUGGUGUGAGAGGAUGACCAGCCACACUGGAACUGAGACACGGUCCAGACUCCUAAGGGAGGCAGCAGUGGGGAAUAUUGCACAAUGGGCGAAAGCCUGAUGCAGCCAUGACGCGUGUAUGAAGAAGGCCUUCGGGUUGUAAAGUACUAUCAGCGGGGAGGCGUUACCCGCAGAAGAAGCACCGGCUAACUCCGUGCCAGCAGCCGCGGUAAUUC
rnacentral:rRNA from 1 species